AGAGUUUGAUCCUGGCUCAGGAUGAACGCUAGCGACAGGCCUAACACAUGCAAGUCGAGGGGUAAGGUAGCAAUACCUGAGACCGGCGCACGGGUGAGUAACGCGUAUGCAGCCUACCUGUUACAGGGGGAUAGCUUCAGGAAACGGAAAUUAAGACCGCAUAAGACGGCAUGUCCGCAUGGACGAGCCGUUAAAUAUUUAUAGGUAACAGAUGGGCAUGCGUGGCAUUAGGUAGUUGGCGGGGUAACGGCCCACCAAGCCUUCGAUGCCUAGGGGUUCUGAGAGGAAGGCCCCCCACACUGGUACUGAGACACGGACCAGACUCCUACGGGAGGCAGCAGUGAGGAAUAUUGGUCAAUGGGCGCAAGCCUGAACCAGCCAUGUCGCGUGCAGGACGACGGCCCUACGGGUUGUAAACUGCUUUUGUACGGGAAGAAAAAAGACUACGUGUAGUUUCUUGCCGGUACCGUACGAAUAAGGAUCGGCUAACUCCGUGCCAGCAGCCGCGGUAAUACGGAGGAUCCGAGCGUUAUCCGGAUUUAUUGGGUUUAAAGGGUGCGUAGGCGGGCUGUUAAGUCAGCGGUGAAAGUUUGACGCUCAACGUUAAAAUUGCCGUUGAUACUGGUGGCCUUGAGUGCGGUUGAGGUAGGCGGAAUGUGGUGUGUAGCGGUGAAAUGCUUAGAUAUGCCACAGAACACCGACUGCGAAGGCAGCUUACUAAAGCGCAACUGACGCUGAUGCACGAAAGCGUGGGGAUCAAACAGGAUUAGAUACCCUGGUAGUC
rnacentral:rRNA from 1 species